GCUGUGCAGCGCUCAGGUGUGCGGCUGCCGCGCAGCCAGCAGACCUGGCAGGGAGCUCCACUUCUCAGGCCGGCGUCUGCAUCGACACGGAGGUGUGAGGGCAGUGCAAACACGCUGCUUUUCCUCCUAGUGCUGGCUAAAAAUGUCCUCCAGCUGAGCUUCUCCUUCAGGCCUUGUUUCAGGUGUCGCAGGGGCCCAGGUGGGGCUGCCGUGCCGAGGCUCACCUGAGGGGCAGCCUGGCUUUGCAGGAGGGAAGAGCUUGCCGAUCUUUCUUGACAGAUGUGGUCUUAAGACUGUGAAUGGUCAUUGAUUUUUAAUUUUUUUUAUCUUGAAAAGGCUGAAUUAUUGCUUGGUUUAUUUUUAAGUAAACUCUUCUUCAUGUGGUCAAGCUGAUGGCCUGAGAAAAAGCAAGAGGAAAAUGCGCGCAGCACCCAAUGCCCAAGGACAGCCCAGGGUUUUCUCAAGGCCUGCAGUGCUGGGGAGAGCUCUCCCAUCCCUCUGGUGCUUUUCCCUAGUUUCCUGACUGCAAUUCAGACAUCUGCACUAAAAGGGAAAAGCUGGUCUUCCCCUGAUGUGAGGUUGGCUGACUUCCUGGGAAUAGAUGGAGCUCGUGGGAACUACAGCCUUGGACUGAGAGAAGCAGAAGUUAUGUACUCCACAUUGCUCUCUGACACAGUGCAUGGAGCCUCACAUGGUGAAUGUGUUCCCCACCGUUGCAUGCCAAUUUUCUGGCUGUCAUUCCAGAAAGUCCUCUGCAUGUUUUUCCACAGAAGAGAUGGCAAAAAAAAAAAAAAAAAAAAAAGGUGUUUAGUACAGCAUGCAAGGAUUUGUGACCCCUGUGUUGUGGUUGUUGGGUGCUUAUGAUUGUUGGCGACAUCUCUUGAUCUUGCCUAGUGCCUCCAAAGCAUGGGAUUGAAACAGAUGAUAAUCUGUUAGAGGGUAAUGAACACAUUCUGUCUAGGGGUUUUCACCUUUUCUCCACACUGCCACUGCACAGUGCCCUAGAUUCCCUUUGUGUCAGGGGAUACUUUGGGUUCUCUUUCCUUUGAACCACCUUGUAGUAAGUUUCUCUCUGUGCAGAGGCUCACCCUUGUGCAGAAGCCCAGGUACAGGAAAUCUCUUUGCUCCAAACUGUGACCCUCAUGUAGAAGGAUAACUGUACAGUGGAGGUUGCUACUGGGCCUUUGCCAUUUUUCAAAUAGGAGGGUACAUUAUUUCAUUCAAUCAGUAAUCCAGGCAUAAAUUUUAAUCUUUCCUGUCUGGAAUUUUAAAACAACAUGACCCAAAUCCUCA